rnacentral:rRNA from 1 species
UACAGAGGGGGCAAGCGUUGUUCGGAAUUACUGGGCGUAAAGGGCGCGUAGGCGGCCUUCUAAGUCGAACGUGAAAUCCCUGGGCUCAACCCAGGAACUGCGUCCGAUACUGGAAGGCUUGAAUCCGGGAGAGGGAUGCGGAAUUCCAGGUGUAGCGGUGAAAUGCGUAGAUAUCUGGAGGAACAUCAGUGGCGAAGGCGGCUAUCUGGACCAACACUGACACUGAGGCACGAAAGCGUGGGUAGCAAACAGG